CUCCUCCACGCGCCGCGGCCGCCACCACAGCACCUCCAUCAGCUUGGCCGCCACGUACGCCAGCGCCGCCGCCGCCGCCGCCGCGAUCCACCACCAGCCCAUCAUCCGCGCCAACAGCACCGCUCAAUUCUAUCUAUGCUGGCAUGCAUCAACCAGUAACACCAUUAUGUUUGGAGCUGCUAGAGAGAUCACAUCAGAUGUGCUGGUUUGCAACAUUUGGUGCGUGCGUCCGUCCGCAUUGAAGGUGUCUGACGGAAGUCUUUCUCUAGCUAGCUACCUGAGGUAUCAAAACGCUGGCCUGACCGAUGAACAAGAUCUCUGGCUAUCUCGGCACUGUUUGCGUCGAGCGGUGUGCCCCCGAGAACGUGCCAAAGUUUUCUUCUGGGUGCUGUGUGCGUGAUGUGAGAAGCAAAGCUUAGCUCCUACAGUGACUGCAGCUAGCAAGCAGCGGCCGGCCGGAGGAGAGGCGCCAUGCAUGCAGGCAGUGCGCGGCGCUGUUGCUGCGAUGCGUGACGGUGGUGGUGGCCAAGGAUGGAUCAUGGAUGGACGGAGAUGAGAGUGAGGGAGGGAGGGAGGGAAAAGACUUGACAUGCAAUUGGAGGAGCAGGGUCAGGUCCAGGUUAUAUCUACCCAUGUCCGUUUCCCUGAUGCUUCCCCCGCUGAGCAAUCACGCACCGGCUGAGCUCGGCCACACCCCGGCUGCCAGAUCGGGUAAAACGUGUGGAAUCAUGGGAUGAUGCAUAUCCAUCCAUCCAUCCAUCUCAUCACACACAUAUACACAGUGACAGUGAGGUAAGUACAUGGCUCCAAGUAGCUAGUGUGCAUACAUUUUCAUCUUGUCAUUUCGAUCCAUCUCUCUCCAGGGGCGACUGUUCAAGCACUGUGUAUACGUGUGAUGGUGCCAUCUGCUAGUAUGUCUGAAACGUGAUCGGGUGGUCGAUCUGCUAUCAUCGCAUGAUCCAUGUGUUUUGCGAGAGGGUGCAGCGCUAGCUGAAGCCAACUGUAAUAAAUGGACAGAUCGGCGUCAGUCAGGAGCCAAUCAUUUCCAAUCUUCGGGUCUCUGCUUGCUCGAGAACCGGUCGAGUGAUUAAUCAGUGGGUGAUGAGCGUGUAUCCAUCGGAGGAGCAACAACGCCGAUGACUGACUAGUGAAGGGAACUAUUUGGUGGUUAGGGUGCAUGCAUGGAUCCAAGCUACACCGCAGCACAACAACAACAAUAUUUAUGUGCGUGAUUCUGGGCUUUCAUCCACAGUGGACAGAGCGCAACAAGACGGAACAAUGCAUGUAUCUUGAUUAUGCUGACAUGAAUACAUGUACUCCCUGUCGCUCAGACGCAUCUAAUAGAUACAUCCAUUAAGCGAUAAGUGAUUUGGAUCGGAGGGAGUAACUAAUGACGCAUAUAUAUUGAAAACAAGACCAAAAAAUGAGCAGUGGUGAAUGUCUUGUCGAAUUGGAAAUUAUAGCUAGACAUGACUGGCCCUUGUUGAUUGAAAGAAGAAAGGCGAUGGGGCAUGCAUGCCAGAACCAAUCGAGACAGAAAAGAAAAGGAAAGGAGCGAGCUAGAGAACAUCUUGGGCACCGCCACCGCCACCACCACCAUUAGAUAUCGAGGAGCGAGUGGCGAGAGCGAUCGGUCGAUGCCUGCUCGCUAGCUCGACGGUGCAACACCAGCAAGCGACCCGACACGCCGAGCUGGGAGGAGAGGGAAAGAAGAAGCUUCUCAGAGUUCUCAUGGAGCAUAUGGCUUGACUCGACGACGCACGAUCUGACGGAUGGGAUGGCACGUACGGGACGGCGACGGGGCCGGCGGGAUCCGUCGAUCGGACCUGACGGCCGCCGGCCGGGCAUAUGAUAACGAUCGGCCAUGAGCAUACGUCACGUACGCGCCGUACGUAUAUUCGCUGGCCACCACCACCGCGCAAGAACCAAAUCAUGAAUUCAAAUCGAGGCGGACGGGAGAAUCGAUCGAUCUGCAUGCGCCUGGCACUGCUCGCGCG